rnacentral:misc_RNA from 1 species
GGAGGUAAAAGUCGUAACAAGGUCUCCGUAGGUGAACCUGCGGAGGGAUCAUUACAGAGUUCAUGCCCUAACGGGUAGAUCUCCCACCCUAUGUUAUCAUCACUUUGUUGCUUUGGCGGGCCGUCAGGCCUCGGCUUGGCUACCGGCUCUCGCUGGUAAGCGCCCGCCAGAGAACCCCAAACCCUGAAUAUCAGUGUCGUCUGAGUACUAUAUAAUAGUUAAAACUUUCAACAACGGAUCUCUUGGUUCUG